CGUGGUAGCUUGAAUUUGUGAAGGGAAGCACAGUAGGAGUAAAACUUCAGGUUUAUUCAUGAAAAACUCCCAAUCUCUUUCAGUUGCCUCUUCGGUUGGCAUAUUCUUUCUAGCAAUCGUUGGCCUGCUGGGAAAGUAACCGGCAUAGGUAUAUUGUCCAAAGUUGACAGAUGCAUGAUGACCUGAGGUUACCCAAGUGAUGGUUGUAACAAUUUGGAUCAAGUCUUGUGGUGUUUUGAGGACAGGCCACCAGGGUUCAUCUUUCUUGUCACCAUGCCCAACCGUACGGAUUUCGGUCCACCAUGCUUGAAGCUCUUCGUCCGACUCCACUAGGCUUGCCUCUGGAUAGUAAUGGUUCACAUAAUCAGAGACCCAUUCUUUGAGAAUAU
rnacentral:lncRNA from 1 species